rnacentral:lncRNA from 1 species
GUGGAGAUCAGCAUGGAGAUGCAUAUUAAUCUUUGAUCGUGAUCGAGGAGCGCACAUGGAGAUCAGUAUGGAGAUACGUAUCAAUCCUCGACCAUAGUUGAGGAGCACAUGUAAAGAUCAGCAUGGAGAUGCGUAUCGAUCUUCGACCGUAGCUGAGGAUUGCGUGCGAAGAUCAGUACGGAGACAUGUACCGAUCCUCGACUGUAGUCGAGGAGCAUGC